UACAGAGGGUGCAAGCGUUAAUCGGAAUUACUGGGCGUAAAGCGUGCGUAGACGGUUACAUAAGUCGGGUGUGAAAGCCCCGGGCUCAACCUGGGAAUGGCAGUGGAAACUAGGGGACUGGAAUCUGGCAGAGGGGGGUGGAAUGCCGCGUAUAGCAGUGAAAUGCGUAGAGAUGCGGCGGAACACCGAUGGCGAAGGCAGCCCCCUGGGCUGAGAUUGACGCUCAGGCACGAAAGCGUGGGGAGCAAACAGG
rnacentral:rRNA from 1 species